CAGGCUGCAGCUUUAUAAAGCAGGCCCCAGUGAAGGGAGGGUUUAUCAGGAACCAGGCACGGGGACAGGAGCACACACCAUGAUUUCACACAUCCAGCUGAUCUGGCCUCUGGCAUUCUACGUCGCAGGUAUCAGUGGGGACAUCAUCAUGAACCAGUCUCCCCCGGUGCUGUCAGUGGGACUGGGCCAGACCGCAACCAUCACCUGUACGGCCAGUCAAUCUGUCAGCAAGUGGGUUCGCUGGUACCAGCAGCGAGAUGGACAGAAACCCUCUCUCCUGAUCAAUGAAGCAACAACUCGAUUCACAGGAGUCUCUGAGCGAUUCAGUGGCAGUGGAUCAGGGACCAGUUUCACCCUGACAAUCAGCAAUGUUCAGAAUGAGGAUGUCGCUGACUAUUACUGUCAGCAAUAUCAGAGCUACCCUCUGCACAGUGAUACAGAGCCAUAUAAAAACCUCAAUACACACAGUCCCACCUCCUGCACUGAUACAUCCCACAGUUAUAUAUAAAUGAAACUGAACAAAUGACCUCAUGCCAGGAUUGUCACUGCCCACUACACACUCCAGUCCCUGUGGUGUCCACCGCUCACUGAAGGCCUCAAGUUUCCCUCUUACACUUCAUGGCCACAUGUGAAGGGCAGCUACAAGAUGUAAUAUCAAAAAUAAAGUUCACAAAUCUCC